AGGGAGACUCUGGGAGCUUUGGAGAAACUGGACCUACUGGGUUAAGAGGCCCCGUGGGAGUUCCUGGACCGCGGGGUGUCAGAGGAGACACUGGCAAGCUGGGACCCCCUGGUCUACUCGGACAAGUUGGUCCUAAAGGUCACCAAGGAGCGAAAGGGGGACCAGGACAACAAGGCACGAAAGGAGAGUCAGGAGCUCCAGGCCCUCCAGGGAAAGAGG